AUUGAACGCUGGCGGUAUGCUUAACACAUGCAAGUCGAGCGCGAAUAGGGGUAACCCUUAGUAGAGCGGCGCACGGGUGCGUAACACGUGGAUAAUCUGCCUGGAUGCCUGGGAUAACCAGUCGAAAGAUUGGCUAAUACCGGAUAAGCCCACGGUCUCUUCGGAGACUGAGGGAAAAGGUGGCCUCUGUAUACAAGCUAUCACAACCAGAUGAGUCCGCGGCCCAUCAGCUAGUUGGCGGGGUAAUGGCCCACCAAGGCGACGACGGGUAGCUGGUCUGAGAGGACGAUCAGCCACACUGGAACUGAGACACGGUCCAGACUCCUACGGGAGGCAGCAGUGGGGAAUUUUGCGCAAUGGGCGAAAGCCUGACGCAGCAACGCCGCGUGUGUGAUGAAGGUCUUUGGAUUGUAAAGCACUUUCGACCGGGACGAAAACCCGAAGGCUAACAUCCUUCGGCUUGACGGUACCGGGAGAAGAAGCACCGGCUAACUCUGUGCCAGCCGCCGCCGUAAAAC
rnacentral:rRNA from 1 species